rnacentral:rRNA from 1 species
AACGAACGCUGGCGGCAUGCCUAACACAUGCAAGUCGAACGAGACCUUCGGGUCUAGUGGCGCACGGGUGCGUAACGCGUGGGAACCUGCCCUUAGGUUCGGAAUAACUCCCCGAAAGGGGUGCUAAUACCGGAUAAUGUCUUCGGACCAAGGAUUUAUCGCCUUUGGAUGGGCCCGCGUUGGAUUAGCUAGUUGGUAGGGUAAAAGCCUACCAAGGCGACGAUCCAUAGCUGGCCUGAGAGGAUGAUCAGCCACACUGGGACUGAGACACGGCCCAGACUCCUACGGGAGGCAGCAGUGGGGAAUAUUGGACAAUGGGCGAAAGCCUGAUCCAGCAAUGCCGCGUGAGUGAUGAAGGCCUUAGGGUUGUAAAGCUCUUUUACCCGGGAUGAUAAUGACAGUACCGGGAGAAUAAGCUCCGGCUAACUCCGUG